UAGAAAAGAUCUGUUGCUAUGUCAACUCAACUUACUUGAAAAAUGAAGGAAAAAAACUGGGCUUCUUCAUGUCUAUACGUAGCCCAUCUAAUUCACAACUAAAAACUUUGUCUAACAGUAAAGGUAAAGUCCAUACCCUUUCCCCUCCCCCUUUAAUUUGCCGGUUUCAACCAAAACAAAUCUAUCAAAAUAUCAGUUUUCAGUCUCGCCAUAAAAGAUCUUCCUCCACCAUUCAGAGAUGCAUUUAAUGUUUAAAUUCUAGAUCACAAACUGACGACCUCCUCUUCAACUUCUCUCCAUGUCCCCGUAUAUAUAUUGGUAGCCACUUAUCAGAUCCGAUUAUUCUCCAAACCAAAAUCCCGAGCAGCCAUACCGAUUCGAAAUCCCAAAGGUCUCUCUCUGUGAAGCAUAAGAUCCAUCAACUUCCUGCAUAGAACAAAGGGAUGGCACAAAUCAUCUCCACUUUCUAUGAACUACUGAAGAAAUACAGAGAAGCCAGCGAAGAACCCAAAGUUACAGAUUUUCCGAUCGCCACUGACACCAAAGCUCCAGCGUAACCAAACCUCCUCUCCGGGUACCACUAUCUUUGCCGUCAGCAGAUGGGCCGAUCGUCAUCCACUUCAAUUUCACCAACGAUCUUCCACCGCACUACCACUUUUUUCUCUUCGCCACCAUAUGUUCCCAUUCCCACCAGUUUAUACCAUGUUUUUUCUCAGUCCUUAACCAACAUUUUCUCUUCUGUUUAUCACUAUAUAAUCUGAUUUUCAGAAAUCUAAAAGGUUUAGGAACCGGGCGCAUUUCUAUGGAACCAGAAUAACAUUUCAAGCUAGGAUUUCGAAACCACCCCAAUUUGGUUUCAGUGAUGACGCCCUAAUCGAUUGAAUUCUCAGUCUAAAAAAGAGUACAACGAAAGGAGGAAGAAGCAAGUCUCCUUGCACCAGAUUUACGGGCUCAACUGAUGAGACCUUUGAAGAGAUCACCCCUCAAACUUAUGCCUUUCAUAUACUUUUUGUUGACGUGGUUGUAGGUCUGUUCCAUCAAACAAAUUAGAAAUAGUUCCAUGUAGCUAAGAAGAUAUAUAAGGAACGACGAGCAGCCAUUACUGAGUUUGAGAUAUUCCGCAAUAACGGUACAUGGCUCUGGCAUGUUGUUGGAGCCAGGACUCAAUAGUUUGUCCACAUGACUAACUGGUAGUAUGAGUUCAUGGAUUCAUAGAAAAGGUUCCACCACGUGUUUGAUGCUUGUGGUGUGAAUAAAUAGCUGAAGAAUGUGGCUUUAAAGAAGGCGAUAGCGUGAUCAUAGAAGAUGUGUGUAUUAGUUACUCUGAAUCUUUGUUGGUUAUAAGUGGUUUAAAUUUGGGGAUUGUAAAAUUUACUGUAUUUUGUGUGUGUGAAUAUCUGUAGUUGGUGUGGCAUGACUCAACCAAUGGCUUGAACAAGACUAUGACACUCAGUUAGAUGGCCUCAAUGGAAAUGAACCAUCUUAGUUCUUUUGUGGAGUGUUUCUUAUACUGACCCUCCAAGUGAAUCAGAUGCUUUUUCCAGUCAAUGAUUUGUGUACAUGUUUUUCCUACAAAUAUGUAUGUAGUCUUAAAUAGAACAGUUUCAGCUAGAAAUAAACUAAAUAAAAUUUUGUUUUCAUUU